rnacentral:rRNA from 1 species
AUUGAACGCUGGCGGCAGGCCUAACACAUGCAAGUCGAACGGUAACAGGAAGAAGCUUGCUUCUUUGCUGACGAGUGGCGGACGGGUGAGUAAUGUCUGGGAAACUGCCUGAUGGAGGGGGAUAACUACUGGAAACGGUAGCUAAUACCGCAUAACGUCGCAAGACCAAAAAGGGGGACCUUCGGGCCUCUUGCCAUCGGAUGUGCCCAGAUGGGAUUAGCUAGUAGGUGGGGUAACGGCUCACCUAGGCGACGAUCCCUAGCUGGUCUGAGAGGAUGACCAGCCACACUGGAACUGAGACACGGUCCAGACUCCUACGGGAGGCAGCAGUGGGGAAUAUUGCACAAUGGGCGCAAGCCUGAUGCAGCCAUGCCGCGUGUAUGAAGAAGGCCUUCGGGUUGUAAAGUACUUUCAGCGGGGAGGAAGGGAGUAAAGUUAAUACCUUUGCUCAUUGACGUUACCCGCAGAAGAAGCACCGGCUAACUCCGUGC